rnacentral:rRNA from 1 species
CAAGUCGAACGAUGAAGCCCAGCUUGCUGGGUGGAUUAGUGGCGAACGGGUGAGUAACACGUGAGUAACCUGCCCUUGACUCUGGGAUAAGCGCUGGAAACGGCGUCUAAUACCGGAUACGACCUGCCCCGGCAUCGGGUGCGGGUGGAAAGUUUUUCGGUCAAGGAUGGACUCGCGGCCUAUCAGCUUGUUGGUGAGGUAAUGGCUCACCAAGGCGACGACGGGUAGCCGGCCUGAGAGGGUGACCGGCCACACUGGGACUGAGACACGGCCCAGACUCCUACGGGAGGCAGCAGUGGGGAAUAUUGCACAAUGGGCGAAAGCCUGAUGCAGCAACGCCGCGUGGGGGAUGACGGCCUUCGGGUUGUAAACCUCUUUUAGUAGGGAAGAAGGGCUUCGGCUUGACGGUACCUGCAGAAAAAGCACCGGCUAACUACGUGCCAGCAGCCGCGGUAAUACGUAGGGUGCAAGCGUUGUCCGGAAUUAUUGGGCGUAAAGAGCUCGUAGGCGGUUUGUCGCGUCUGCUGUGAAAACCCGAGGCUCAACCUCGGGCCUGCAGUGGGUACGGGCAGACUAGAGUGCGGUAGGGGAGAAUGGAAUUCCUGGUGUAGCGGUGGAAUGCGCAGAUAUCAGGAGGAACACCGAUGGCGAAGGCAGUUCUCUGGGCCGUUACUGACGCUGAGGAGCGAAAGCGUGGGGAGCGAACAGGAUUAGAUACCCUGGUAGUCCACGCCGUAAACGUUGGGAACUAGAUGUGGGGACCUUUCCACGGUCUCCGUGUCGC